rnacentral:rRNA from 1 species
GGGACACGUGGUAUCCUGUCUGAAUAUGGGGGGACCAUCCUCCAAGGCUAAAUACUCCUGACUGACCGAUAGUGAACCAGUACCGUGAGGGAAAGGCGAAAAGAACCCCGGCGAGGGGAGUGAAAAAGAACCUGAAACCGUGUACGUACAAGCAGUGGGAGCACCUUCGGGUGUGACUGCGUACCUUUUGUAUAAUGGGUCAGCGACUUAUAUUCUGUAGCAAGGUUAACCGUAUAGGGGAGCCGCAGGGAAACCGAGUCUUAACUGGGCGUUAAGUUGCAGGGUAUAGACCCGAAACCCGGUGAUCUAGCCAUGGGCAGGUUGAAGGUUGGGUAACACUAACUGGAGGACCGAACCGACUAAUGUUGAAAAAUUAGCGGAUGACUUGUGGCUGGGGGUGAAAGGCCAAUCAAACCGGGAGAUAGCUGGUUCUCCCCGAAAGCUAUUUAGGUAGCGCCUCGUGAACUCAUCUUCGGGGGUAGAGCACUGUUUCGGCUAGGGGGUCAUCCCGACUUACCAACCCGAUGCAAACUACGAAUACCGAAGAAUGUUAUCACGGGAGACACACGGCGGGUGCUAACGUCCGUCGUGAAGAGGGAAACAACCCAGACCGCCAGCUAAGGUCCCAAAGUCAUGGUUAAGUGGGAAACGAUGUGGGAAGGCACAGACAGCCAGGAUGUUGGCUUAGAAGCAGCCAUCAUUUAAAGAAAGCGUAAUAGCUCACUGGUCGAGUCGGCCUGCGCGGAAGAUGUAACGGGGCUAAACCAUGCACCGAAGCUGCGGCAGCGACACUAUGUGUUGUUGGGUAGGGGAGCGUUCUGUAA